CUGUUUACGCAGAAAUGAUCAACAACCUGCUCCAGCCUUUGAUUGGGGCCAAGGACUGCACUUUGAUCAGACACAACGUGUUCCAUUCUCUGCCUAACACCGCCAACACGUUGAUAGGCCGGGCUGCCCACAUUGCCGUGCUGGACUCUGAACUUUUCCUGGAGAAGUUUUUCCUCGUGGCAGGACUCAACUACUUCAAAUAGUGCCUGAAAGAACAAAGUGCUAUGGCUUUAAGGCAUUCAAGCUUCCAAGUAUUGGUGCUUUUGGAAGAAAUAAAUAUUCCUCUUCAGUUUCUAUGUUUAUUGUCCACAUAAAGACAUGAGCCACUUGUGAAGUACAGAAUCAGAAUAAGGAGGUUAAUUCUCUAAAUGUGAUUGGACCAAUACAAUUCCCAUUUAUCCUGAAUAUUAAACCAGGAACUUGUCUGUCUUUGAUUUACUGCUUAUUUAUGUAUUAACAAACCUCUACAUUUGUAGCUCUUCUGGGGUAGUUAACACACAAGGAAACAAGUGUAUGUGAACUCAGGUUAAAACCUUCUUUGUGAUGAACUGAGAAGUCUGAAAACCAUACAUGAAAGAUUCAGUAUUUCUGUUUGUUGGAAGAAAAUAUUUGGAUGGUUCCAUACUGGUAAUAAUUUGUAACAUACAAAUUGUACAUUCAAAUAAUGGAAAGGAGUAACAUAUUUUACAUAGAAUGAACAAAUAUUGAUACUUGUCUUUAAAAAGAAACCCCAGCUUUAGUUUGGGAAGAAUUUCAUUCAAGUUAGAAGCUGCCAAACAAAGAGGACUACAUUGGAUUACUUGUGAAAUAUCAGUGGCAUCUGUUAAUAUUUCUUCUGUUUACAUUUAUAGAGGAUCAUAACUGACUGUCUUUGUUAUAACCUUAAAGGAACAAUUUUUACGUUUACAUUUGUAUCUAAGUCCAUUUGUCCCAAUUUUUUUUUAAAAAAAUUAUUACACUGAUACAGAAUUCAAAAUCUAGCCAGUUAUACCCUUGAAAACCCCAGACAUUUGAAAAAAACCAAGAAAACCAGAAUGAAGAUAUAUAAUGGUAA